AGCAUCACAGAGCGGGAAAAGGCAGUACUGGACCAGAACCCAGAACCUAGCACUUUCGACUCUGCAGGUGCACGUGUUCAGAGCCCUCAAGAUAAAACGUCUGAGGCACAGAGAUGCUACCUGACUUGGAAACUUACCGGCGGGCGGUGGAAUCAACCCAGCUGUGAUUCGAACCCAGGCCGCCCCGCCCCCUACCAGCUACACAGGCCUGCCCUGGGAAAGGCAGCUGGGCUCAACCCUGGGGCCGUCCUGUCUCUGUUCUGUCGAUGCCC
rnacentral:lncRNA from 1 species